AGAGUUUGAUCCUGGCUCAGGACGAACGCUGGCGGCGUGCUUAACACAUGCAAGUCGAGCGGACCUUCGGGUCAGCGGCGAACGGGUGAGUAACACGUGGGCAACCUGCCCCAGACUCUGGAAUAACUCCGGGAAACCGGGGCUAAUGCCGGAUAUCCACACCUUCGGGCAUCUGGUGGUGUGGAAAGAUUUAUCGGUCUGGGAUGGGCCCGCGGCCUAUCAGCUUGUUGGUGGGGUAAUGGCCUACCAAGGCGACGACGGGUAGCCGGCCUGAGAGGGCGAUCGGCCACACUGGGACUGAGACACGGCCCAGACUCCUACGGGAGGCAGCAGUGGGGAAUAUUGCGCAAUGGGCGAAAGCCUGACGCAGCGACGCCGCGUGAGGGAUGACGGCCUUCGGGUUGUAAACCUCUUUCAGCAGGGACGAAACUGACGGUACCUGCAGAAGAAGCACCGGCCAACUACGUGCCAGCAGCCGCGGUAAUACGUAGGGUGCAAGCGUUGUCCGGAAUUAUUGGGCGUAAAGAGCUCGUAGGCGGCUUGUCACGUCGGCUGUGAAAACCCGGGGCUCAACCCCGGGCCUGCAGUCGAUACGGGCAGGCUAGAGUCCGGUAGGGGAGACUGGAAUUCCUGGUGUAGCGGUGAAAUGCGCAGAUAUCAGGAGGAACACCGGUGGCGAAGGCGGGUCUCUGGGCCGGAACUGACGCUAAGGAGCGAAAGCGUGGGGAGCGAACAGGAUUAGAUACCCUGGUAGUCCACGCCGUAAACGUUGGGCGCUAGGUGUGGGGGACCUUCCACGGCCUCCGUGCCGCAGCUAACGCAUUAAGCGCCCCGCCUGGGGAGUACGGCCGCAAGGCUAAAACUUAAAGGAAUUGAUGG
rnacentral:rRNA from 1 species